CCGGAGCUGCUCCGCGUCCUGGGCCGGACGCGGGUCUCGUCGGCGGUGUCGGGAUCCAAGUCCAUGGCUACGAGUCUUCGUUGCACGAUCUCUCUUUCGCUCGUCCGGCGUCGUCCGGCGACUUCGAACGUGGCGAAAACUACGAGUACAACAAUUCUCAUCUGGCGUACACACGUUAAGGAAUAUGCCAAGAAGACUUGGAAGGGGAGAGGAUAAGAAGAGAAGAAAGAAAAAGUCUUGAGGUAAGAGAAAGGAAGCAGGUUAGAAAUUUCCAUCCGGGGAGAAAAGAUGAGGAAGGCGGUGCAUGCAAUUGAAGGCAGAGGGCCCACUCAAUGAGAAAUGACCGUAAUGUGAUUUGGUCAUAAACCUUCCUCCCUUCCCAUCAAUGAUUAUAAUUUUUUCUAAAUAAAACAUAUAAUGUAGCCCAAAUUUGACAUACAUGAUACAUAGCACACAGAAAGAUCUAUUUCAACCGAUUCUGAUAACAAAAGCUAGAGGCAGCUCUUCGCUUGACUUGGACUCUUAGCCAGCAGAGUGGACUCAGCUACAGAGUGCUCAUCUCAUACAUACUAUUCUACUGUUCUGCUCUUCAAGACUUUCUUCUACUUUUUUUGUCCUUCAAAGUUCUAUUUGAUUUAAGCAUCAGAAAGUCUGCAGCUAGAUUAGUUCCGACAACUUUUGAUUUUAGUGCUUCUUCUUGUGUUCAGAUUAGAGCUCUUCCUCCUAGAGCAGAUCUGCCAC